ensembl:miRNA MIR9830 microRNA mir-9830
AUACCACGGUGUCUGGAAAGGUCGGAUGAGUCACCCAGCACUCUGCGGCUCUUUGCUGCGUCACCGAGUCCU